rnacentral:lncRNA from 1 species
UUCCUAUUGCCCAUGCAUUCACAAACACUAGGGUUUUGGUAGGGACUUCGUACCCACCUAUGCUGCAUUUUCGAAGUGUUUCUCGUGGCACUAAUAGUGGAACUGUUGCUUGCAAUCUAAAUGUUUCUUUUAUCACAGCUUUUAGGUAAGUUAAAUUUUGAACUUCAUCUUCAUUUACGAACCCUUUUUCUCUAAUUAAAUCCCUCACUUCCGCUUGAGUUUUCUUCAAACACUUUGGGUUUUUCAUUAGAAAGUUCAUUACCCAAAUCACAGUAGCCGCGGAUGUGUCUGUUCCAGCAAUAAAAACAUCCUGCAUAAAAGGGAAAAGGAAAAAAAUGAGUAUAUAUAUACAUAACGUGUGAAGCUAAUGAUAAAAGUAUCAAGUAAAGAUGAGAUGACCAUAAGAAUAGCUUUUAUGUGAUCUAUGGUAAGAUCAAAUGGCAAAUCAUGAUUUGUCUUUAUUCGUAGCAACACAUCCACUAUAUCUUCUUGCUCUGAUUUUAAUUUAUUUGGAUCAAGAUGCUCAUCAAUAAGUUCUUGGAUGAAAGUAUCAACUUCUUUGAAAGCUUUUUCAAGACGACUCAAAAAACCAGUAAAUCUAUCUACCCAACCCAUGAAAGGAAAGUAGUCAGAGAAACUAAGAUUUGAAAACAAAGCUUCACUUUCUUUAAGCAACCGACUGAACCUGCUUUUUUCAGCUCCUUCCUCAUCAUACCUCUUACGGAAGCCUAUUCUAAAAAUGAUUGAAUUUGAUAGGCACAUCACUGCCUCACUCAAGUUGAUAGGCUUAGAAUCAACAGAUAAUUGGCAUAUUUUUUCAAUCAGGCGAGAAACUUCGUCUUCUCGGGUGGGACGAUACGUUUUCACUCUACUAAAGAGGUGUACAACACAAAUUUUCCUCAUCUCCCUCCAGUAGUCAUUGUAUGGUGAAUAAGACAAAUCAGAG